rnacentral:ncRNA from 1 species
UUCUGUGCACGAAAAUGCAGGAGAAAGGAUGGCACCCAGAGACGAGGAAGGGCGUAGCAAGCGACGAAAUGCUUCGGGGAGUUGAAAAUAAGCAUAGAUCCGGAGAUUCCCAAAUAGGUCAACCUUUUGAACUGCCUGCUGAAUCCAUGAGCAGGCA